AAAAAAAUUAAGUAAAUCAUUUUUUAUUUAUACAUAUACAGUCAUUUGUUUGGAUGUAUGUUCAGUGAACCUCGAUCUCCGAUUGUUUUAUUUGUCAAUUUAUUCCCGGGAAGGCUUGUACCAAAUUCUCUUUUUUCGGGAGGUGGACCAGAGGCUGACCUAUUCGAAAAAAAUGCAGGAAGACUAAUCAUCUUUCCGGGAAGAGAACCAGG